CAAGAUAUAAUUAUUAGCAUACCCCUUGAAACCAAUGCAUGAUAUUUGCCAAAUAAUGGUGUUCUUUUAUUAGAUAUGAGAUUGUAUUGUACUAUUGUGGGUAGUUUGGUUUAUUUUACAGUCACUCGUUCGGACAUAGCUCAUCCAUUUCAUGUGGUUAGCCAAUUUGUUUCAACUCUUACUGUUGUACAAUAGAGAGAGAUGUUCUCAUAUUUAGGACAUCUUCAUGGCGGCUAGUUUUAAAGUCUUAUGUUCCACUUGAAUUCCUCUCUAGAGUUGUGUACCUACGGUGAUUGUAACACCCAUGAUUUUUAAAACCAUUUUAAGUUACAAAAUAUUACAUUUCCCAUGACAUACGGUCAUGUCAAAAUACACUUUACAAAAAUUUCCAAAUAUUAUCAGAAUACAUUUGAUGGUGUUAUAAAAGACACAUAGCCAUAGAUCAAGGAAAGUAUUAUACAUAGUGAAGACUACACUAGAUCUUCAAAAAAUCCUGUCAAGUGCACCUCUAUCACUUAUCACUUGAUACCUUUGAUACUAAACAUGAGUACGUAGAGUACAUAGACAACAUUAAUAAAAACAAAAUACGUAAAUCCAAAGAAUUGCGAGCUACACGAGCUCCGACCUAGUAUCAAAACUUGAAAUAUAUUUCAUAAACUUCUAGCAUGUCAUAAUAACUUAAACAUGAAUCUUAUAAAUCAUAAUGACUCUAAUUACGCAUAAAAUACUAGCACAAAGCUAGUUUAACAUUUCUAGCUCAUAGCUAGUUUCAAACAAGAUCCUAACACAUAUGGGGAGUCGAGACCUUUGACUUUAAUUGCAUAACUUGGCCCCGAAAGAAACAUAUCACUACGUGUCGUUAGGUUAGUAUAUAUUCAUAUAAUUAUGUCCCCUUUCUCGGGACCUUUAACUAUGUCCCCAUUAUUAAGACUUGUGACCGUAACCUGUUUUGAGACCUUUAACUUUAACCUAGUCUCUUUACAUGUCUUUUUUUUUCUCACAAACCAUUUUCAUACUUUAUAUUUUACUUCGUUUUUAUAUCCAUUUUACAAUUUCAUUUUUUUUCACCUUGUUUCUAUAUGUUUUUCAUAAUCAGUUUUUACUUCAUUUUUUACUUCGUUUUUAUAUGUUUUUUUUUUCACAAUUCCUUUUUAAACUUCAUUUUUUGCUAUUUUUUACAUGUUUUUUCACAGUUCGUUUAUACAAACUAAUUGUGAAAAAACAUGUAAAACAAAGUCAAAUAAUGAAGUUGUAAAAAUAAAUUGUGUAAAAACAUAUAAAAAUGAAUAUAUAUNAUAUAUAUAUAUAUAUAUAUAUAAACUUAGAUAAUAAAAAAACAUAAAAACCUGACAUUGUUGGUCAUAAAGACUAAGUUGACUAAAUAAAUUUUCGAUGACUUUUUAGACUUAAAACAAAAUUUUGACUAAAUGAACACAAAGAAAAUAGUGCGUAGUAAUUUCGACUUUAACCUUUAUUUUAUUGAUAUUAUAAUGGAAUAAAACUAAAACUGUUUAAAAGAAACCUCAAAGGCCAAAAAUUUAUUGUGAAAUUUUAGAAGUAGGUCCAACAAAGCAUUAAGCAAUCCGCGAAAUGCAGGGAUUUAAAUAAAUUAAGGGAAAUCAUUUAAGCCCACAAAGUUCUUUGUUGGAGAAGUUGUUGACUUAGGCUUCUAAUGUGAAAAGAAUUUUUGUUGCCUUUGUCUCCUAAGGGGAAAAGUAACUAUGCUGCCUUUGUCUCCUAAUGGGAAGAGUUGUUGUAACGUGGAAUAUUUAACAACUAUGUAGCAUUAUCGGCUGGUCAAAAAGUAAUGUAAAAAACGCUUUAUGAUUAAACAAAGAAAAUAACCAUCCCAUCAUAAUCAUGAGUUAAGGGUAGUUUGAUAGUUGUAAACUGAGUUAGAGUUAGAGUAGACUCAGUUGUUUACAUCUGACUGAAUUUAUGAUGUUUGAUUAUUUUUCUGACCGUGGCGGAUGAAAAAAAAAAUUAACCAUAUUACCCUUGUGAGUUUGUUCAUACACAUAACAAGACAUCUACUAACAAAAUAACAAGCAAUAUAAUUUUAACAACAAAAUAAAUCACAGCAACAGCCAAAACGUAAUAUUAACAGAAAUUCGAGUCUACAUCAUUUGCAUUUUUUGUAUAACAAAAUUACAUAAAAGCACAUAGCAUCUACAAAAACAUUUAAACUAUAUAUAUAUNNNNNNNNNNNNNNNNNNNNNNNNNNNNUAUAUAUAUAUAUGAAAAACAAGAAGAAGGAAGAAACAGCAAAACAGGAACAGAAGAAACAGAAACAGCAAAACAGCCAAUUGACUUUCUCAGCAAAAACUCAUACGAUAUAGCAGCAAAAUUUCAGAAAGAAACAAGGAACAAGAAAGAGAAAUCAGAAAAUAUCGUAUGAAAUAGAGAAAUCGGGAACAGAAAAUCCUGUAUGGAAUGCAGUUAGACAAACAUGCCAAAUGGGUUUUUUUGGACCCAGUUAGACAAACGACCCCUUCUUAUUGUAAUAAAUAAUUGGAGUAGGGUCCUCAAAAUGCCUAGAUAUAAAAGCCUUGUAAUCCCCUAAGUUUAGUUGCAAAAAUGAACACAAGGCAACCAAUUUCCUUUUCCUGUUUUGUUAUAUUUCUGAUUGCUGCCUCCAUCGAUGGUGGUAAUGAGACCGAUUACCAGGCUUUGUUAAAGUUCAAGUCUAUGAUCAGGAAUGAAGAAGCUCUAAUCUCAUGGAAUGCUUCCUUCCAUUUCUGUGAUUGGAGUGGUGUCUACUGUGGGAGGCGGCAUAGAAGAGUAACUGUUCUGCUACUGGAGUCACAAGGGCUAGAAGGCUCAUUGUCUCCUCAUAUAGGGAACCUUAGCUUCCUUCGUUUCUUUUCUCUCUGGAACAACAGCUUUCAAGGAACCAUCCCUCAUGAACUCGGUCGUCUCUCCAGGCUACGUUUCCUCUAUCUUGGCUCUAACAAAUUCAACGGGGUCAUUCCAACUAACUUGACUCGUUGUUCUAACCUUAAAGAGAUUGGACUUAAUAAUAACAACCUAGUUGGAAGCAUACCUAAGGGGAUUGGUUUCCUCUCCAAACUUACUUAUCUUUCAGUUGAUGAAAAUAAUUUAACCGGUGGAAUCCCACGUGUCUUGGGGAAUAUAACAUCAAUGGAAGUGUUCUCUGCUGCUGAAAAUCCGUUGGGUGGGAGCAUUCCAGACACCUUAGGCCACUGGAAUAGCUUAACACAACUUUACCUUGGUGCUUGUAACUUAUCUGGAACCAUCCCUCCUUCCAUUUUUAACCUCUCACACCUAACGAAUUUUUCCUUGGCUGAGAAUCAGCUUACCGGUAGUCUUCCCUCAGCUUUAGGUACAAUGCUCCCUCAUCUUAGGUACCUUCAGUUAUGGGGUAACCAACUCACCGGAACUCUUCCACCCUCGAUAUCUAAUUGUUCGAAAUUAGAUUUUCUUGAAGUCCAUCUAAACAACUUCAGUGGGAAGUUGGAAAUUGACUUUGCAGAAAUGAAAGAUAUGUAUUUUAUAUCCUUGGGUGGUAACAACAUCUAUGGAUCCGGAGGUGCUGAUGAUAUGAAGUUUAUUGAUACUUUGAAAAACUGUAGCAGAUUAGAGACAUUGGAUCUUUUUCGUUGCACGUUUCAAGGACCAUUGCCUGCAUCAAUUGGUAAUCUUUCUGAUCAGCUCAGUUAUCUAAGUUUAGGAGAAAACCGUAUACAUGGAAACCUCCCUCCAGGUAUAGGUAAUCUAAUUGGCUUGACCAAUUUAGGUUUAGAAAAUAACCAGUUUACUGGAAAAAUCCCCUCAACCAUUGGUAAGCUUCAGAACCUACAAAUUGCUUCUCUACAUUACAACCAAUUUUCAGGGCCGAUUCCAGAUGCCAUUGGAAACUUAUCAUUGUUGACUAAGCUUUGGUUAAAUUCCAACAAAUUGGAAGGACAGAUUCCAUCAAGCCUGGGAAAUUGUCAUCAUCUAUUGGAGUUACACCUUGACGAUAAUAAACUUGGUGGUAAAAUACCUACUCAACUUCUUCAACUUUCAUCUCUAACCAUAGCAUUAAAUCUUUCUCAAAACAACCUGGUCGGGUCGCUUCCAACAGAAGUUGGCAACCUCAAGAUGUUGACUUAUCUUGAUUUGUCAAAUAAUAAAUUAUCAGGUAACAUUCCUAGUAGCAUUGGUGGUUGCACUAGCCUUGUAUUCUUAUCCCUCAAAGGUAACUUAUUUCAAGGCCAUAUACCAACGUCAUUAAGUUCCAUGAGAGCAGUUUCGACACUUGAUCUUUCUCAUAAUAAAUUAUCGGGCCAAUUUCCUCGAUUCUUGCAACGGUUGACCUUAUUAGAAUAUGCAAACCUGUCCUUUAAUGACUUCCAGGGCAAUGUACCAGUGAUCGGAGUAUUUGCAAAUGCAAGUGCAUUCUCUGUUUUGGGUAAUAAUAGGCUUUGUGGUGGCUUGGCUGAAAUUAGGUUGCCCAAAUGUAAUACAAAGAAGCAUAACAAAAAGUUACCUUUGUUCAUCAUACUCAUUCUGUUCGCAUCCACACUUUUCACCAUAUUAUCUUUUGCAAAUUUUUUAUGUAAGAAGAAGAAGAGUCAACCGUCUCAAUCAUCGAGAGGCGAACGGUUCAUGAAAGUAUCAUACAGUCAACUUCUCAAGGCUACCAACGGCUUCUCCCAAGCCAAUUUGAUUGGUGAGGGUGGGUUCAGCUCUGUUUACAAAGGAGUCCUUGAUGAUACAAUUGUUGCAGUCAAAGUUGUACAUCUUCAAAACCGAGGUGCUCACAGAAGCUUUACAGCAGAGUGUGAAGUGUGGCGGGGUAUUCGACACCGGAAUCUGGUUAAGAUAAUAACUUCAUGUUCAAGUGUUGACUACCAUGGCAAUGACUUCAAAGCUUUGGUAUAUGAGUUCAUGCCCAACGGGAGUUUACAUGAUUGGUUGCAUUCAAGUCCAAGUACAUCCAGAUUGAAUCUUUUCCAGAGAAUAAAUAUUCUCAUGGAUAUCGCAUCUACAAUUGAUUAUCUUCACAAUCACUGCCCAUCACCCAUCAUUCACUGUGACCUGAAGCCUAGCAACAUUCUACUUGAUGAUGAUAUGGUGGCCCAUGUUGGAGACUUUGGUUUAGCUCGAUUUCUUGGAACAAAUCCAAACAAAAAAAGUACAAGUGGCAUUAGAGGAACAAUUGGGUAUGCACCUCCAGGUAAAGUUCAUGUAUUCCCAAAUGCUCAUAUUUAUUUUAGUAUUACAUUUUCUGCAAAUAAUAUUUGCUUAAGAGUUGCAGAGUAUGGUGUUGGGAGUGAGAUGACAAGUAGUGGGGAUGUCUACAGUUUUGGAAUACUAUUAUUGGAGGUGAUGACAGGGAAGAGGCCAACAGACAACAUCUUUAACGAAGGCCUUACCCUUCAUAAAUUUGCAUACAUGGCCUUGCCAGACCAUGUAACUGAUGUUAUUGAUGAUGAUCUUCUGAAUUUUCUUCAAGAGGAUGCUACUGCUACACAAUAUACAUCAGCACAUGCAAAGAAAAUAGAGGAAUGCUUGGCUUCAAUCAUCAAACUAGGAGUAUCAUGCUCAGUGGAUUCCCCACCGCAGCGGAUGAAUAUCAAAAAUGUUGUCCGUGAAUUGCAGAAAAUUCUGGAUACACUGCAAAAUAUCCAUGGCUCCAUGUUCUCUCAUCUUCCUAAAUGAAAACAUAUAUAAUUAAAGAAGCCUCUGCCUUUCCUGAGAGGCACUUGUCUUUAUUACAAAACAUUAGUAGUAUUUGUCCGUAUUAUGUAUCAUUAGUUAGUUCAUUACACACCUGACUUGGGUGGUUACUGGUUAGGCAAUCACUGCUUCAUAUGGUAUGUGCAUUUCUAAUAUAUCUUCUACUUCACAUUUGACAUUUUAAUUCAACUCGAUGUAUGAGUUAGAAGCCAUUCAAGUAUCGCAUUUACAUUACUUAAAUGAUUUGACUUGUACCCAAUUUUCAUGAAUAAUCUUGAAACUCACCUCUCUGAACUAACAAGUAACAACAUUCCGACCUUAAUUGUUUACCUUUUCCCUCUACAACUUAUCAAUCGAAUUCCUCAUCCUUUACUAAAAUACAUAGUUAUUUAUCAACAUCAUUGAUGAUAUCAUUCUAGACACAAAACGCUAUAAGUGUAGCUAUUUCUAAUUUCUAUGCUUGGUUGUGCUUUAAAUAUUACAAACAGACAUAUAGAGCAAAAUCACCAUUUCUGUUUCAUACUAUUUGCACAAUUUUGUUAAAGUUUUAAACAUAUAAAAUGACACCAUUUCAUCUGAAUAACAGUAAUUUCUAGCCACCUUAGCCACAACCACAUAUUACAAAGAAGGAUUUCCAAGUAUUAAAGCAUCUUUUAGGUCAAAAUCCGACUAAAUACCCAAAAUCCCAAAUUUAUCAUUUUUAACAUAAGUAGGGUUCUCAUGCUCAUAAUAUGUGUACUCCAACCAAAUUACAUCAUCUUUCAGUAAACAGCAAGAAUUACAUUAAGAUUGGUAGAAUCAUCCAUAGAACAUUAGGGUUUACAUACCUCAGUUUCAUUCGUAUAAACAUCAAACCCACUGAUUCCCUUACGAAAAUGAUUCCCCAUCUUGCUGUCGAUCAAACUCUAACUACCAUCGCUUAAACCUUCUCUUUGCGGUGUUUGAGAUAUAUUUUUACGUUCAAGGACUUUUUUGUAA
rnacentral:lncRNA from 1 species